GGAGAGAUGGCUGAGUGGUCUAAAGCAACAGAUUGCUAAUCUGUCGUACGUUUUUAUUCGUACCGAGGGUUCGAAUCCCUCUCUCUCCU
rnacentral:tRNA from 2 species